rnacentral:lncRNA from 1 species
CAAGGACUACAAGAUGAAGAUGACGACGACAAAGAAGAAGAUGAAGAUGAAUCUCAGGGAAAGCGUGUGCACAAAAAGGAGGAAAAGGAAGUUGAACCUCUCCCUCAUGGAAAGCGUGUACACAAAAAGGAGGAAAAGGAAGUUGAACCUCUCCCUCCUCAUGGAAAGCGUGUACACAAAGAGGAGGAAAAGGAAGUUGAACCUCUCCCUCCUCAUGGAAAGCGUGUACACAAAGAGGAGGAAAAGGAAGUUGAACCUCUCCCUCCCCGAAAGCAUGUACACAAAGAGGAGGAAAAGGAGGUUGAACCUCUCCCGCACCGAAAGCAUUUACGCAAAGAGGAGGAAGAGGAGAAGCCUCGCGCUCGCCGCACACGGGGACCAACCCCAAGCCCUGGAGGAGAAGGACACAGAGUGGUGGAAGAGGAAGAGGAAUAUGAUGAGCCAGUGCGACACAAGACCCGCCACGAAAAGAGUUGGAAAGAGGAUCAACCAGCAGAAGAAGUAGUAGA